ACGUGCUGGGGCCCGCAUUCUGCCAAAGGCCCCUUCUGCUGGCAUCUCUGCUCAGGAGAGGCGCCGCCUGGUCUUGUCUGGACCCCGAGCGCACUGCGCUUGGCCACCGAGGCGCACCAGCUGUGCGCCCCCCCAACCCCACAGCUCGCUUAUCACGGGCGCUCCAGGUGCCCCACUCGCAAGCGACAGCGGAGGCCACGAGUCCCCCACACCCCAGGGGCGGAGCGAGGCGCAGAGACGUCAGGGCGGGGACCUAGCGCGGCCGAGCGCGCUCUCCCGGAGGCUGCCGGCAGCCCACGUCCCCGGCUGGCGCGGCCGGUGGUGGCGGCGGCGGUAGAGACCGGGAUCUAGCAGUUCGCAGCGGCGCUGGGGCGCAGCCAGGCGGCCGCGCCGGCGGAGACCGAGGAUGGCAGAGGCGGAAUUGCACAAGGAGAGGCUGCAAGCCAUAGCAG